UCUAGGCAAGUUAUGAAGCUUUAUACACCUAAUCUCUGUGAUAUAUGAAUCUGAUAUUUUUAAAUUUUAUGAUUACUUUGUUCUUCUUUCUAAUAACAGUGUUCUACAACUACUCGUCUACUCUGCUGCUCUGUGCCUCUUCUGCUGUCUCUGCCUCAAACUUUGUAUAGGACUUAUUUGAUGCCAAGAUCACCUCAUGCAGUUAGGUGCUCAAUAAGAAUGAGGCCGCCCCAGCUAGAAGUGUUAUGUGGUUCUGAAGGAAAAGCUUUGUGAUUAUCUCAAAAGUCAUUGACAUAGAAAAGAUGUCUUCAGCUAGAAAUGUUUUGGGAAAUGCUUUGUGAUUAUCUCUUUGACAUAUAUAGAUAAGAUGUAGACAAAUUAUCUCAAGUUUCUGUUUCAAAAGCAUGUAAGCGUCAUUUCUUUAAUUAGAUAUGGAACUAGAAGUGUUUUGUCACUUUGUGGUUAAGUGAAAUACUGCUAAAUUGCAAUUUUUUAUGUACAAACGAACUAAUCGUUUUCAAUU